AAGAUCAUGUAACAAAAGAAAUUAUAAAAGUAAAAAAAUGGAAGAAGAAAUGGCUGGAAAAAAUGAUGAUAGAGCAGCUUUUUCUUGUUAGCCACCUCGGAAGAUCAAGACAGCUGGAAAGGGCUAUUGAUAUUGUGGAAGUGUUUUCUUACAGAGGUUGCUUAUCAGACAAAGGCUAUUUAACUACAUCAGAAAGAUAAAAACAGUUGGAAAUGGCUAUUCAUAUUGUGGAAACUUUUCUCACAGAGCUUGAUAAUCAGGCAAAAUGCUGGAACACCAUUGAAAGAGUAUUUGCUGUAUGAUAACAACAAGAAAACCCAAGCAUCAAUUUAUUUUAUACUUCUGGGAAAGAAUGCAUUUGACCCAAUUUUUAAAUAUUUAUUUUUUGUUAUUAAUGUUAAAUUUUCUUCCAAAACACAAUUAGAUUUUAAUUCUCUUCAGAAAUGUAUGUAUAAUAUAGCAAGUAAAGUGACAUAUAAAUCACUUAGAAUUUGGUCAGAAAUCAUAAAGUAUUUAAUAGGCAUUACUAGAAACCAAAUGUAGAUCAAAUACACCCAGAAUAACAAAAAACCUUGACCUACAUAAAGGUGACUUUCCCUUGCUUAUGAAAUGAAAUACGGUUUAGUAUCCUACUUUUCUGUGUUCUUAGAGUGAUUCUGCCCUACACCUUACUCUUAUAUCCAAUAUUUCAACU